rnacentral:rRNA from 1 species
GACAGAGGAGCCAAGCGUUGUCCGGAUUGACUGGGCGUAAAGCGCACGUAGGCGGACUCUUAAGUCGGUGGUGAAAUCCUGGAGCUCAACUCCAGAACUGCCUUCGAUACUGAGAGUCUUGAGUCCGGGAGAGGUGAGUGGAACUGCGAGUGUAGAGGUGAAAUUCGUAGAUAUUCGCAAGAACACCAGUGGCGAAGGCGGCUCACUGGCCCGGUACUGACGCUGAGGUGCGAAAGCGUGGGGAGCAAACAGG